AGCGAAGUGUCCCUCCUGCUCAGGUGAAAAAUUAACUAAGAGACCGGAGCUGGCUGAGCCCUGAAGGGAUCAAGUUCUGCAGAUUCAGUAGAAAGCGGAAGUGUGGGGACAGAGUGCUGGUUACAGAAGAAGCGUGAUGAAAAAAAGGAUGUAGACGGUCCCUCUGUUAUUCCUUGGAAACUACAGCUCCCAGACUUCCCUUCACCUGGGCGCGCUGGCGCGCCCAGGUGAAGACCAUCACUCCCAGAUAACCUUGCGCCCGCAGUUAAAAGCGAGCGCUCCACGAGGUUUCUCUCUCUUGCCCCUUUUUCCUCGUGUGUCUGCACGUCCCGCCCUUAUCGUGUUUCCCUCUCCCCAUUAAACGCACCCACGUGGGA